UAGAAAGUAACCUAAUGGUAGAAUGUUAAAGCGGUACUGUCAUUCCCCCCCUCAAAAUUUGUGAAAUACUUACAUUGACUGUGUUGGAAUUUCAAUAAAAUUCCAACCCAGCCAAAAGAUAUCUGAAGCGUUAAAACCUGGGGGACCUGGCACCCAGACCACUUCGUUGAGCUGAAGUGGUCUGGGUGACUAUAGUGUCCCUUUA